GGAGGUGGGAGAUCUUCAAAGGGAUUCAUGAGGCCUGUUCCUGUGAGAGGGGUCCAUUCACUCCACCCCCGCCCCUUUGGGGGGCCUGUUUCUUUGCCUUGGCUCAGAACUGGGAGGUGCAGAUGGGGCCUCGGACUCUACAGACAGCCCAGCCUCCUGCCAGAAGAAAUCUGCGGGGUGUUUUUCCGGCGCCAUUACCCACUCACCACCCUCCGCUUCUGUGGUAUGGACCCUGAGCAACGGAAGUGGCAGAAGUACUGCAAACCCUCCUGGAUCUUUGGGUUUGUGGCCAAGAGCCAGACAGAGCCUCAGGAGAACGUAUGCCACCUCUUUGCGGAGUAUGACAUGGUCCAGCCAGCCUCGCAGGUCAUCGGCCUGGUGACUGCUCUGCUGCAGGACGCAGAAAGGAUGUAGGGGAGAGACUGCCUGUGCACCUAACCAACACCUCCAGGGGCUCGCUAAGGAGCCCCCCUCCACCCCCUGAAUGGGUGUGGCUUGUGGCCAUAUUGACAGACCAAUCUAUGGGACUAGGGGGAUUGGCAUCAAGUUGACACCCUUGAACCUGCUAUGGCCUUCAGCAGUCACCAUCAUCCAGACCCCCCGGGCCUCAGUUUCCUCAAUCAUAGAAGAAGACCAAUAGACAAGAUCAGCUGUUCUUAGAUGCUGGUGGGCAUUUGAACAUGCUCCUCCAUGAUUCUGAAGCAUGCACACCUCUGAAGACCCCUGCAUGAAAAUAACCUCCAAGGACCCUCUGACCCCAUCGACCUGGGCCCUGCCCACACAACAGUCUGAGCAAGAGACCUGCAGCCCCUGUUUCGUGGCAGACAGCAGGUGCCUGGCGGUGACCCACGGGGCUCCUGGCUUGCAGCUGGUGAUGGUCAAGAACUGACUACAAAACAGGAAUGGAUAGACUCUAUUUCCUUCCAUAUCUGUUCCUCUGUUCCUUUUCCCACUUUCUGGGUGGCUUUUUGGGUCCACCCAGCCAGGAUGCUGCAGGCCAAGCUGGGUGUGGUAUUUAGGGCAGCUCAGCAGGGGGAACUUGUCCCCAUGGUCAGAGGAGACCCAGCUGUCCUGCACCCCCUUGCAGAUGAGUAUCACCCCAUCUUUUCUUUCCACUUGGUUUUUAUUUUUAUUUUUUUUUGAGACAGAGUCUCACUGUCACCCAGGCUGAACUGCAGUGGUGUGAUCUAGGCUCACUGCAACCUCCACCUCCCAGGUUCAAGCAAUUAUCCUGCCUCAGGCUCCCAAGUAGCUGGGAUUACAGGCAUGUGCAACUCACCCAGCUAAUUUUGUAUUUUUAGUAGAGACAGGGUUUCACCAUGUUGGCCAGGCUGGUCUUGAACUCCUGACCGCAGGUAAUCCACCUGCUUCGGCCUCCCAAAGUGCUGGGAUUACAGGCGCAAGCCACCCAGCCCAGCUUCUUUCCAUUCCUUGAUAGGCGAGUAUUCCAAAGCUGGUAUCGUAGCUGCCCUAAUGUUGCAUAUUAGGCGGCGGGGGCAGAGAUAAGGGCCAUCUCUCUGUGAUUCUGCCUCAGCUCCUGUCUUGCUGAGCCCUCCCCCAACCCACGCUCCAACACACACACACACACACACACACACACACACACACACACACACACACACACACACACACGCCCCUCUACUGCUAUGUGGCUUCAACCAGCCUCACAGCCACACGGGGGAAGCAGAGAGUCAAGAAUGCAAAGAGGCCGCUUCCCUAAGAGGCUUGGAGGAGCUGGGCUCUAUCCCACACCCACCCCCACCCCACCCCCACCCAGCCUCCAGAAGCUGGAACCAUUUCUCCCGCAGGCCUGAGUUCCUAAGGAAACCACCCUACCGGGGUGGAAGGGAGGGUCAGGGAAGAAACCCACUCUUGCUCUACGAGGAGCAAGUGCCUGCCCCCUCCCAGCAGCCAGCCCUGCCAAAGUUGCAUUAUCUUUGGCCAAGGCUGGGCCUGACGGUUAUGAUUUCAGCCCUGGGCCUGCAGGAGAGGCUGAGACCAGCCCACCCAGCCAGUGGUCGAGCACUGCCCCGCCGCCAAAGUCUGCAGAAUGUGAGAUGAGGUUCUCAAGGUCACAGGCCCCAGUCCCAGCCUGGGGGCUGGCAGAGGCCCCCAUAUACUCUGCUACAGCUCCUAUCAUGAAAAAUAAAAUGUUUGUCUUUGCAAAACAGUAA
rnacentral:lncRNA from 1 species